GACGAACGCUGGCGGCGUGCCUAACACAUGCAAGUCGAACGGGGUAUAAGAUUUCGGUUUUGUACCUAGUGGCGAACGGGUGAGUAACGCGUGAACAACCUGCCUUUCUGAGGGGGAGUAACACCUGGAAACAAGUGCUAAUACCGCAUAAGACCACAGGGUCGCAUGGCCCAGGGGUCAAAGGAGCAAUCCGCAGAAAGAGGGGUUCGCGUCCCAUUAGGUAGUAGGCGGGAUAACAGCCCACCUAGCCAACGAUGGGUAGCCGAGCUGAGAGGCUGAUCGGCCACACUGGAACUGAGACACGGUCCAGACUCCUACGGGAGGCAGCAGUGGGGAAUAUUGGGCAAUGGGCGCAAGCCUGACCCAGCAACGCCGCGUGAGGGAAGAAGGCCUCGGUUGUAACCUCUGUCCUUGGUGACGAAGAAAGUAGACGGUAGCCAAGGAGGAAGCCCGGCUAACUACGUG
rnacentral:rRNA from 1 species